UACGUAGGUGGCAAGCGUUGUCCGGAAUUAUUGGGCGUAAAGCGCGCGCAGGCGGUCCUUUAAGUCUGAUGUGAAAGCCCACGGCUCAACCGUGGAGGGUCAUUGGAAACUGGGGGACUUGAGUGCAGAAGAGGAAAGCGGAAUUCCACGUGUAGCGGUGAAAUGCGUAGAGAUGUGGAGGAACACCAGUGGCGAAGGCGGCUUUCUGGACUGCAACUGACACUGAAAGACGAAAGCCAGGGGAGCAAACGGG
rnacentral:rRNA from 1 species